rnacentral:rRNA from 1 species
AUUGAACGCUGGCGGCAUGCUUUACACAUGCAAGUCGAACGGCAGCGCGGGCUUCGGCCUGGCGGCGAGUGGCGAACGGGUGAGUAAUACAUCGGAACGUGCCCAGCAGUGGGGGAGAGCGCGGCGAAAGCCGGAUUAAUACCGCAUACGACCUGAGGGUGAAAGCGGGGGAUCUUCGGACCUCGCGCCAUUGGAGCGGCCGAUGGCAGAUUAGCUAGUUGGUGGGGUAAAGGCCUACCAAGGCGACGAUCUGUAGCUGGUCUGAGAGGACGACCAGCCACACUGGGACUGAGACACGGCCCAGACUCCUACGGGAGGCAGCAGUGGGGAAUUUUGGACAAAGGGCGAAAGCCUGAUCCAGCCAUGCCGCGUGUGUGAUGAAGGCCUUCGGGUUGUAAAGCCCUUUUGGCGGGAACGAAAAGGACUGUGCCAAUACCACGGUUCGAUGACGGUACCCGCAGAAUAAGCACCGGCUAACUACGUG